UGUAAAGGAACUCCAAAAUAAACCUCUCCCAGGAACACAUUUUUCCUUCCUCUGGCAACCAAAAGUGCCCGAAGCCCUCAGUUUAUUUCGGUAGCCCCGUUGGCAAUGUGCCUCCUUCUGGCAAUCAUUGCUCAUUUCGCUCACUCAUCUGCACCCCUCACAUUGAUCUGUGUUGCCCUGGACACCAGGUAUGCAAACAGAAAACUCAGCUCUGGAGCCCAGAUGGUCCACCUGGGCCGGGGAGAGGUGAUGUGAGGAGCCAGGGUUUUGGAGUAACAGCGGUUCCAGGUGAACGAUUUGGAUCCAUACACUGUUGUGUAUGUGAUGGAUAGAAACAGGGACUCACAGUGAUGAGAGCUCAUGGAUUCACGUCUACUAUCUGUACAAAGGGAAAUGAACAAACCCGCUAAAACUGUCGGACGCACGUCAAACGCCGACAAAGCCGUGUUUCAGCCGCAUACCUCCACAGCCAAGCCCGGGCCUGGAAAGCGUCCAGCGUGACCUACAGAUACCAACGUGUUAUCUGUUGGCAUUCGUCGAGCAACGUGUUCUGGACUGGAGGUUAAUGAACACCACAGGAGGGUCUGUCCAAAGGAUGGCUGUCCACUGGGGUGAAUCAGACGGCGUUCUAAGACACAGGAAUUGGCAGCUCUGCUGUUUCCACCGCUGCAAUGUGGCAGGAUCGCCUGAAGGCAUCAUGGGAGGAAGGGACAAAGAUGAAGAGAGCAUCUGUUUCCCAAACAACAGGUAUCAGAAGGAAGGAGCCUGGUAUUGGUGAGACUGUUCCCGUCACUCAGAGAAGCCUUCAAAUGCUGGAGCCUGGCAAAGUGGUUUUCCAUCAUCGCUCCUAUGUUCUGUGAUGCGGACAGCAGGUAGGCGCAGUGUGACUGCUCUGCUUUUAUUCUGACAGACAAAGAGAAAAGAGAAAGAGACUGGUUAAAAUGAAUUUAAAAAAAAAAAGAAUUGAUAAUCGUACGCAUUUUUAGCUUAGCAUUUUUGCAGCCAGAAAUCAAUGAUUUCACAGAGAGGAAUUCAGCAUUGCUUUGUUAAUCAAGGUCAGGCCCAAACACAGGAAGUUGAGUUUAACCAUGAUGGACGUAAAUCCUCAGACCUGGUAACUACCCAGUACUCUCACGCCUGACAGGCUUUUCAUCCCUCACAUGUAUUCGCCAGGCUCUUUUCCACUAGCCUUGAUAAGUCCAGACACACAACACAUGGCUGGGAAUUUCAACUGUUUACACGCCGUUGCCCUCACGCAUUGUUCAUUUCUCUUACUUGCUAAGGUUAGCAAUGACAAAAAUGCUUAGCUUUCGGUCAGGUGGUAGGUCAUGUAAUGGUUUCUGAUGUUGCGUCAAGAUUCCUCACAGGCAGGUACAGGUGCAUGAACACUUGAAGUGAAUUGUGAGACUUUGUAAAACAAAGCACCGUCAUUCAUUUGUCAUUUUUCUGAUUGGCUGGU